rnacentral:rRNA from 1 species
UUUUAUUUGAGAGUUUGAUCCUGGCUCAGGAUGAACGCUGGCGGCGUGCCUAACACAUGCAAGUUGAGCGAUUUAUUUCGGUAAAGAGCGGCGGACGGGUGAGUAACGCGUGGGUAACCUACCCUGUACACACGGAUAACAUACCGAAAGGUAUGCUAAUACGGGAUAAUAUAUUUGAGAGGCAUCUCUUAAAUAUCAAAGGUGAGCCAGUACAGGAUGGACCCGCGUCUGAUUAGCUAGUUGGUAAGGUAACGGCUUACCAAGGCGACGAUCAGUAGCCGACCUGAGAGGGUGAUCGGCCACAUUGGAACUGAGACACGGUCCAAACUCCUACGGGAGGCAGCAGUGGGGAAUAUUGCACAAUGGGCGAAAGCCUGAUGCAGCAACGCCGCGUGAGUGAUGAAGGCCUUCGGGUCGUAAAACUCUGUCCUCAAGGAAGAUAAUGACGGUACUUGAGGAGGAAGCCCCGGCUAACUACGUGCCAGCAGCCGCGGUAAUACGUAGGGGGCUAGCGUUAUCCGGAUUUACUGGGCGUAAAGGGUGCGUAGGC